UGCCAGACUCCUACGGGAGGCAGCAGUGGGGAAUAUUGCACAAUGGGGGAAACCCUGAUGCAGCGACGCCGCGUGAGCGAAGAAGUAUUUCGGUAUGUAAAGCUCUAUCAGCAGGGAAGAAAUUGACGGUACCUGACUAAGAAGCCCCGGCUAACUACGUGCCAGCAGCCGCGGUAAUACGUAGGGGGCAAGCGUUAUCCGGAUUUACUGGGUGUAAAGGGAGCGUAGGCGGUUAGAUAAGUCUGAUGUGAAAGCCCACAGCUUAACUGUGGGAUUGCAUUGGAAACUAUAGAACUAGAGUGUCGGAGAGGUAAGUGGAAUUCCUAGUGUAGCGGUGAAAUGCGUAGAUAUCAGGAGGAACACCGGUGGCGAAGGCGGCCUGCUGGACCGUGACUGACGUUGAGGCUCGAGAGCGUGGGGAGCAAACAGGAUUAGAUACCCUAGUAC
rnacentral:rRNA from 1 species